UACGUAGGUGGCAAGCGUUGUCCGGAUUUAUUGGGUUUAAAGGGUGCGUAGGCGGCUUUGUAAGUCAGUGGUGAAAUAUGGCAGCUUAACUGUCAGGGUGCCAUUGAUACUGCGGAGCUUGAGUACAGAUGAGGUAGGCGGAAUUGACGGUGUAGCGGUGAAAUGCUUAGAUAUCGGAAGGAACAUCAGUGGCGAAAGCGGCUUCCUGGACCAGCACCGACGUUCAGGCACGAAAGCGUGGGGAGCAAACAGG
rnacentral:rRNA from 1 species